CCCUUAGAUGUUCUGGGCUGCACGCGCGCUACACUGAAGCUAUCAACACGUUUUCCCUCCCUGAGAAGGGCGGGUAACCUUUUGAAUCAGCUUCGUGGUAGGGAUCGGGGCUUGCAAUUGUUCCCCGUGAACCAGGAAUUCCUAGUAGACGCGAGUCAUAAGCUCGCAUCGAUUAAGUCCCUGCCCUUUAUACACACCGCCCGUCGCUACUACCGAUUGAACGUUUUAGUGAGGCAUUUGGACCGACGCAUCUCAGUUUAACCGCUGGUUUGUGUUGGAAAGACUUCCAAACUUGAGCGUUUAGAGGAAGUAAAAGUCGUAACA
rnacentral:rRNA from 1 species